rnacentral:lncRNA from 1 species
UUCAAUUGCUAGACUUGCUUUUUGUUUUUAUUAUCAACAAUCAAGUUAAUGGUACACUCUUGGAAAACUAUAUGCACAUGUAGAAAUAUUUCCCUUUUAAAUAGAAGCAUUCAUUAUAACACAUAUAAAUAAAUUUGAAAAUCUGAAACAUAACUUAUGACGCUUAUGUUCACAAACAUAGUCCAACAAGAAGAAAAAAGAAAUCAGACAGACAUGCACCUGAUAACAAAAAUAUAUACCAUUGGCUGAACCGUGGUCUCUCUAAACACAAAGGAAUUGAACCCGUGAGAACCUUAUUAUUCAAUAAAGACACACCAUAGAGACUACAAGAAGAGAAAAACAUUAUACGGUCACAUAGAGGAGGCGGGCUGUACUGAUAUUAACACGAUACAAUUGAGUCACAGAACACAGUUGUAGAAAGACACCAAAAAAGUUAAAGCCUCAACAUUCAACUAAUAUCUAUAGUUUGUGCCGCCAAAAAGUUCAGUAAAAGCUGGUGGAAGAAAAUGCCGGCGGGGGUGUCAGGAGAGAAAAAAAGGGAAGAGUUGAAAGAUACGUGA